UACGAAGGGGGCGAGCGUUGUUCGGAGUUACUGGCGUAAAGGGCGCGUAGGCGGCGCUCCAAGUUAGGCGUGAAAGCCCCGGGCUCAACCUGGGAAUUGCGCUUAAGACUGGAGUGCUCGAGUGCGGAAGAGGUGAGUGGAAUUCCCAGUGUAGAGGUGAAAUUCGUAGAUAUUGGGAAGAACACCAGUGGCGAAGGCGGCUCACUGGUCCGCAACUGACGCUGAGGCGCGAAAGCGUGGGGAGCAAACAGG
rnacentral:rRNA from 1 species